rnacentral:rRNA from 1 species
AUUGAACGCUGGCGGCAUGCUUUACACAUGCAAGUCGAACGGCAGCGCGGGCUUCGGCCUGGCGGCGAGUGGCGAACGGGUGGGUAAUACAUCGGAACGUGCCCAGUAGUGGGGGAUAGCUCGGCGAAAGCCGGAUUAAUACCGCAUACGACCUGAGGGUGAAAGCGGGGGAUCUUCGGACCUCGCGCUAUUGGAGCGGCCGAUGGCGGAUUAGCUAGUUGGUGGGGUAAAGGCCUACCAAGGCGACGAUCUGUAGCUGGUCUGAGAGGACGACCAGCCACACUGGGACUGAGACACGGCCCAGACUCCUACGGGAGGCAGCAGUGGGGAAUUUUGGACAAUGGGCGAAAGCCUGAUCCAGCAAUGCCGCGUGUGUGAUGAAGGCCUUCGGGUUGUAAAGCACUUUUGGCGGGAACGAAAAGGACUGUGCCAAUACCACGGUUCGAUGACGGUACCCGCAGAAUAAGCACCGGCUAACUACGUG